GAUGAACGCUGGCGGCGUGCCUAAUACAUGCAAGUCGAGCGAACAGACGAGGAGCUUGCUCCUCUGACGUUAGCGGCGGGCGGGUGAGUAACACGUGGAUAACCUACCUAUAAGACUGGGAUAACUUCGGGAAACCGGAGCUAAUACCGGAUAAUAUAUUGAACCGCAUGGUUCAAUAGUCAAAGACGGUUUUGCUGUCACUUAUAGAUGGAUCCGCGCCGCAUUAGCUAGUUGGUAAGGUAACGGCUUACCAAGGCAACGAUGCGUAGCCGACCUGAGAGGGUGAUCGGCCACACUGGAACUGAGACACGGUCCAGACUCCUACGGGAGGCAGCAGUAGGGAAUCUUCCGCAAUGGGCGAAAGCCUGACGGAGCAACGCCGCGUGAGUGAUGAAGGUCUUCGGAUCGUAAAACUCUGUUAUUAGGGAAGAACAAAUGUGUAAGUAACUAUGCACGUCUUGACGGUACCUAAUCAGAAAGCCACGGCUAACUACGUG
rnacentral:rRNA from 1 species